CGCAUGCGCCGUCUCCUAACCUCGAUGGACGCGCUUUCGGUUCUCCGAGCUCUUCUAGGCGAGGCUCCCAGUGCUCCUAGGGUUCUUCGGGGCCUCCUGGGAACUGUAAGAGGAGCGAGGAUUCCCGGGAGCCACAGAAAGACCGGGUAGCGAGCUCGGGGCAGGAUCGGAGGGACCGGAGCCCACCCGGGGCCGCAGAGGCUCGCAGGUGUCCAGCGGCCGGGCGAGGCCACCGGAUGUCACCGGGCUGCAGGCCUCCGGGCGGGCAUCCUGGGAAGGAGAGCCCUUCGAUCACCAUCCCUGGCCCUUGAGAGUACCUGAAAAUGGACAGUUUCCAGAGGUCAGUUUCCUUCACGGAUUUGACCGUGGACUUCACCCAUGAGGAGUGGCAAUAUCUGGGCCCUGCACAGCGCCUCCUGUACAGGGACGUGAUGCUGGAGAACUACAGGAACCUCCUCUUAGUGGGGUUUCGUGUUAGCAAACCAGAUGUGAUCUUAAAAUUGGAGCAAGGAAAAGAGCCUUGGAUAGUGGAAGAAUCGCCAAGUCAGAACCAUGCAGGCAAGUGUGAUGACCGAGCAGGUAAAAACAAAAGAAUUCGAGUCCCAGGCUGAUCAGUGAUCACAGCUGGCCCCUGUAUGAUCCUUUGUCUAGAAUCUUCUAGGACCUGUGCUGUAUAUACCUAAAUGUUCUUCCCAAAUAAAUGUAUUCAUAUAAAAA